rnacentral:rRNA from 1 species
GAUGAACGCUAGCUACAGGCUUAACACAUGCAAGUCGAGGGGCAGCAUGAACUUAGCUUGCUAAGUUUGAUGGCGACCGGCGCACGGGUGAGUAACACGUAUCCAACCUGCCGAUGACUCGGGGAUAGCCUUUCGAAAGAAAGAUUAAUACCCGAUGGCAUAGUUCUUCCGCAUGGUAGAACUAUUAAAGAAUUUCGGUCAUCGAUGGGGAUGCGUUCCAUUAGGUUGUUGGCGGGGUAACGGCCCACCAAGCCUUCGAUGGAUAGGGGUUCUGAGAGGAAGGUCCCCCACAUUGGAACUGAGACACGGUCCAAACUCCUACGGGAGGUAGCAGUGAGGAAUAUUGGUCAAUGGACGAGAGUCUGAACCAGCCAAGUAGCGUGAAGGAUGACUGCCCUAUGGGUUGUAAACUUCUUUUAUACGGGAAUAAAGUGAGGCACGUGUGCCUUUUUGUAUGUACCGUAUGAAUAAGGAUCGGCUAACUCCGUG